rnacentral:rRNA from 1 species
UACGUAGGGUGCGAGCGUUGUCCGGAAUUACUGGGCGUAAAGAGCUCGUAGGUGGUUUGUCGCGUUGUUCGUGAAAACCGGGGGCUUAACCUUCGGCGUGCGGGCGAUACGGGCAGACUGGAGUACUGCAGGGGAGACUGGAAUUCCUGGUGUAGCGGUGAAAUGCGCAGAUAUCAGGAGGAACACCGGUGGCGAAGGCGGAUCUCUGGGCCAUUACUGACGCUGAGGAGCGAAAGCGUGGGGAGCGAACAGG